UACGGAGGGUGCAAGCGUUGUUCGGAAUUAUUGGGCGUAAAGAGCUCGUAGGCGGUUUGUCGCGUCUGCUGUGAAAACUGGAGGCUCAACCUCCAGCCUGCAGUGGGUACGGGCAGACUAGAGUGCGGUAGGGGAGAUUGGAAUUCCUGGUGUAGCGGUGGAAUGCGCAGAUAUCAGGAGGAACACCGAUGGCGAAGGCAGAUCUCUGGGCCGUAACUGACGCUGAGGAGCGAAAGCAUGGGGAGCGAACAGG
rnacentral:rRNA from 1 species